UACGGGGGGGGCAAGCGUUGUUCGGAAUUACUGGGCGUAAAGGGCUCGUAGGCGGCCCACUAAGUCAGACGUGAAAUCCCUCGGCUUAACCGGGGAACUGCGUCUGAUACUGGAGGGCUUGAGUUUGGGAGAGGGAUGCGGAAUUCCAGGUGUAGCGGUGAAAUGCGUAGAUAUCUGGAGGAACACCGGUGGCGAAGGCGGCAUCCUGGACCAACACUGACGCUGAGGAGCGAAAGCCAGGGGAGCAAAGCGGGG
rnacentral:rRNA from 1 species